rnacentral:rRNA from 1 species
GAUUUCUGGCGUGACGCGCUUGGCCCGCCUCGGUUACGAGUGUGAGUGCCGAUGCGUGUCUGCCAUCCUUCUAGAAAACGGCCUUACCCUUUACUGGGCUGAGGUCGCGAUCUAGAUCUAUUACUUUGAAAAAAUUAGAGUGUUUAAAGCAGGCGUUUGCUAGCAUGGAAUAAUAAUUUAGGACUUUGGUUCUAUUUUGUUGGUUUCUAGAACUGAAGUAAUGAUUGAUAGGGAGGUGCUAGUAUUCAGAGGCCAGAGGUGAAAUUCUUGGAUUCUCUGAAGACUAACUUAUGCGAAAGCAUU